UCUAGCCAUGGGCAGGUUGAAGGUUGGGUAACACUAACUGGAGGACCGAACCGACUAAUGUUGAAAAAUUAGCGGAUGACCUGUGGCUGGGGGUGAAAGGCCAAUCAAACCGGGAGAUAGCUGGUUCUCCCCGAAAGCUAUUUAGGUAGCGCCUCGUGAAUUCAUCUCCGGGGGUAGAGCACUGUUUCGGCUAGGGGGCCAUCCCGGCUUACCAACCCGAUGCAAACUGCGAAUACCGGAGAAUGUUAUCACGGGAGACACACGGCGGGUGCUAACGUCCGUCGUGAAGAGGGAAACAACCCAGACCGCCAGCUAAGGUCCCAAAGUCAUGGUUAAGUGGGAAACGAUGUGGGAAGGCCCAGACAGCCAGGAUGUUGGCUUAGAAGCAGCCAUCAUUUAAAGAAAGCGUAAUAGCUCACUGGUCGAGUCGGCCUGCGCGGAAGAUGUAACGGGGCUAAACCAUGCACCGAAGCUGCGGCAGCGACGCUGAUG
rnacentral:rRNA from 1 species